CACGCCGUAAACGAUGAUAACUAGGUGUUGGGAGAAUUGACCCUUUCAGUACCGUAGCACACGCGCUAAGUUAUCCGCCUGGGGANCAACGCGAAGAACCUUACCUGGGUUUGACAUACCGUGAAAAGUACAGAGAUGUAUAAUAGUCGCAAGACACACGGAUACAGGUGC
rnacentral:rRNA from 1 species